rnacentral:rRNA from 1 species
GACGAACGCUGGCGGCGUGCCUAACACAUGCAAGUCGAGCGGAAAGGCCUCCUUCGGGAGGUACUCGAGCGGCGAACGGGUGAGUAACACGUGGGCAACCAACCCCUCACAUCGGGAUACCCCGGGGAAACUCGGAUCAAUACCGGAUAAUGCGCGACGCUGUUGGGCGUCGCACCAAAGGUAGCUUCGGCCUCUGGUGAGGGACGGGCCCGCGGCCCAUUAGCUUGUUGGUGGGGUAACGGCCUACCAAGGCAACGAUGGGUAGCUGGU